GUGGGGAAUUUUGGACAAUGGGCGCAAGCCUGAUCCAGCCAUUCCGCGUGCAGGAUGAAGGCCUUCGGGUUGUAAACUGCUUUUGUACGGAACGAAACGGUUCUGGUUAAUACCCGGGGCUAAUGACGGUACCGUAAGAAUAAGCACCGGCUAACUACGUGCCAGCAGCCGCGGUAAUACGUAGGGUGCAAGCGUUAAUCGGAAUUACUGGGCGUAAAGCGUGCGCAGGCGGUUGUGUAAGACAGGCGUGAAAUCCCCGGGCUCAACCUGGGAAUUGCGCUUGUGACUGCACGGCUGGAGUGCGGCAGAGGGGGAUGGAAUUCCGCGUGUAGCAGUGAAAUGCGUAGAUAUGCGGAGGAACACCGAUGGCGAAGGCAAUCCCCUGGGCCUGCACUGACGCUCAUGCACGAAAGCGUGGGGAGCAAACAGGAUUAGAAACCCGUGUAGUCC
rnacentral:rRNA from 1 species